rnacentral:tRNA from 1 species
AGCCAAUGAGCUUGUUUAAGCAUAUAUUUUGAAAAUAUAAGAAGGGAAAAUAUCCCAUUGACUU